CACGUAGGGGGCGAGCGUUGUCCGGAUUUAUUGGGCGUAAAGAGCUCGUAGGCGGCUCAGUAAGUCGGGUGUGAAAACUCCAGGCUCAACCUGGAGACGCCACCCGAUACUGCUGUGGCUAGAGUCCGGUAGGGGAGUGUGGAAUUCCCGGUGUAGCGGUGAAAUGCGCAGAUAUCGGGAGGAACACCGAUGGCGAAGGCAGCACUCUGGGCCGGUACUGACGCUGAGGAGCGAAAGCGUGGGGAGCGAACAGG
rnacentral:rRNA from 1 species